rnacentral:rRNA from 1 species
AGUGAACGCUGGCGGUAGGCCUAACACAUGCAAGUCGAACGGCAGCACAGUAAGAGCUUGCUCUUACGGGUGGCGAGUGGCGGACGGGUGAGGAAUACAUCGGAAUCUACUUUUUCGUGGGGGAUAACGUAGGGAAACUUACGCUAAUACCGCAUACGACCUACGGGUGAAAGCAGUGGAUCUUCGCACCUUGCGCGAUUGAAUGAGCCGAUGUCGGAUUAGCUAGUUGGCGGGGUAAAGGCCCACCAAGGCGACGAUCCGUAGCUGGUCUGAGAGGAUGAUCAGCCACACUGGAACUGAGACACGGUCCAGACUCCUACGGGAGGCAGCAGUGGGGAAUAUUGGACAAAGGGCGCAAGCCUGAUCCAGCCAUACCGCGUGGGUGAAGAAGGCCUUCGGGUUGUAAAGCCCUUUUGUUGGGAAAGAAAAGCAGCAGGUUAAUACCCCGCUGUUCUGACGGUACCCAAAGAAUAAGCACCGGCUAACUUCGUG